ACAGCCAUAUGACGUUGAAACACCAGUUCUUGUGCGGUCACCAAAGUUAAGCAAUGUCUAGCUUGGCCGGUACUUAGAUGGGUGACCGCUUGGGAAUACCAGGUGCUC